rnacentral:rRNA from 1 species
CCUACGGGUGGCAGCAGUAGGGAAUAUUGCUCAAUGGGGGAAACCCUGAAGCAGCAACGCCGCGUGGAGGAUGAAGGUUUUCGGAUUGUAAACUCCUUUUGUUAGAGAAGAUAAUGACGGUAUCUAACGAAUAAGCACCGGCUAACUCCGUGCCAGCAGCCGCGGUAAUACGGAGGGUGCAAGCGUUACUCGGAAUCACUGGGCGUAAAGAGCGCGUAGGCGGGAUAGCAAGUCAGAUGUGAAAUCCUAGGGCUUAACCAUAGAACUGCAUUUGAAACUGUUAUUCUAGAGGAUGGGAGAGGUAGGUGGAAUUCUUGGUGUAGGGGUGAAAGGCGUAGAGAUCAAGAGGAAUACUCAUUGCGAAGGCGACCUGCUAGAACAUAACUGACGCUGAGGCGCGAAAGCGUGGGGAGCAAACGGGAUUAGAUACCCGGGUAGUC